rnacentral:rRNA from 1 species
CAGAUUCUCCAUGGUCAACUCCUGUCCAUCAAACGGCACCGAUAUACCCAGUCACCAACUUGAAUCUGGUACUCGUCAACACUGCUUCAGCACCCCCUGCACAAUUUGUCUGACCACAUGUCUGACCACCAGUGCCUUGGCCUGUCGCUGUGUCCCGUGCUUACCGCACGCCUCGCCGCUAUCACCGCGUCGAGCCUCUGUUGUCCUGGUCGAGUCCC